rnacentral:lncRNA from 1 species
GUCACUAUGGCAACAAGACAUUGUCAUUAAUGGUCCAAAGUCAGGAGAGGGAGUGGAACAUUCAUGCCACUUGGUGGAGGCAUAAUCCCCAGAAGUCAGCAACUAGAGGCAAUCACCUGAUCAUCCUUAGCUACAGCUCUUGUUUGGAACUUGGAAAGAAUGAAGUCAUCUAAGCUUCUUUGGACUUCCUUGACUUCUCUGGAUUCAGUGCUUUGAAUAUUUAAAGUGAUCUCUCUGAACUAUAGAAUCAGAAGAUUCAGAAAAUAUAAAUUAGAGAGCUUUUUUUG